UGGAGAGGGGAGAGCAGUAUCACCACUCACCUCGGGAGCCGUAAUCCCACCCAGACACCGGGCAGCCUCGGCACGAGUGAAGUAGCAACUGUCCGACGGCCACCCGUGAAGCAGCCGGGCUAUAUCCAAACGUGUUGACACCUCCACUUGUACUGUAAUUCUGCAGAGCUGCUGUGCAGGGAGUUCCACACUUUUGAUCAAGCUAUCAAGAAGGAAUUGAGGUGGAUUUCCAAAUCAAGGUGGAUCCAUCAACUGCACAAGUCAGGGGUGCGAUGUAACACUUUCUGUUUGACUGGAUAAGUGCACUACGACUCUCAAGAAACUUGCCA